GAUUAAUGCUGGCGAGAUGCAUAACACAUGCAAGUCGAGCGAGAAAUUUCCUUCGGGAAAUGGACAGCGGCGGACGGCUGAGUAACACGUUGGAACACCCCCUCGAUUCAGGGAUAACCCAGAGAAAUCUGGACUAAUACCGGAUACCCCAGCAAUGGGAAAGCGUUUAGCGAUCGAGGAGUGGCCUGCGGCCCAUUAGUUAGUUGGUAAGGUAAUGGCUUACCAAGACGAUGAUGGGUACCUGGUGUGAGAGCAUGACCAGGCAGAGUGGGACUGAGACACGGCCCACACUCCUACGGGAGGCAGCAGUGAGGAAUUUUCCGCAAUGGACGAAAGUCUGACGGAGCAAUCUCGCGUGGAGGAUGACACCCCUCGGGGCGUAAACUCCUUUUAUGAGGGAAGAAAAUCUGACGGUACCUCAUGAAUAAGGGACGGCUAACUACG
rnacentral:rRNA from 1 species